AAUGCUUGUACGAACUCGAACCCAGGCACAGAGAAACACAGCAAGCAGAGCCCAUGGGGCUCAUUUUGGAAGCAGAAGAGGAGAUGCUGCCAACAACCAAAACUCAGUGGGUGCCCUGUGUUGCAUUCUGAUGAGGCACUGCCUCUUCUUCAUCACUUCGGCUGUGUCUCAUUCCAAGAUGUUCCCCCUUACUUCUACCCUCGUUCCCUUCCUUUAGUGGAUCUGAGACAACUGGUUCUUCCGGUGUUGACCCUUGCCUGUUUUCUGGACUCUGUACUCGCCAGCCUGGCCAGUCUGCCUGCCCUGACCUCAAGCCUGUCUGCCACUCUGUACCUCCUGGACUCUGUACCUCCUGGACUCUGUACCCGCCGGCCUGGCCAGUCUGCCUGCCCUGACCUCAAGCCUGCCUGUCCUGACCUCAAGCCUGCCUGCCCUGACCUCAAGCCUGCCUGCCCUGACCUCAAGCCUGCCUGCCCUGACCUCAAGCCUGCCUGCCACUCUGUACCUCCUGGACUCUGAACUUGUUUUGACCUUUGGCCUGUCCACGACCAUUCUCUUGCCUACCCCUUUUGGAUGUAAUAAAUA